rnacentral:lncRNA from 1 species
CAUGGAUGCACAAGUCAAAGCUAUUGCUGAUACUGGUGCAAAUGUCGUAGUAACAGGUGGCAAAGUGGCAGACAUGGCUCUUCAUUAUGCAAAUAAAUAUAAUAUCAUGUUAGUGAGGCUAAACUCAAAAUGGGAUCUCCGAAGACUUUGUAAAACUGUUGGUGCUACAGCUCUUCCUAGAUUGGUAUGUAUUUUGGAAAACACUAAAAGAUAGUUGAACAAGAUGGAAUUUUUAUUACAACAGUCACUUUCUUACAGACACCUCCUGUCCUUGAAGAAAUGGGACACUGUGACAGUGUUUACCUCUCAGAAGUUGGAGAUACUCAGGUGGUGGUUUUUAAGCAUGAAAAGGAAGAUGGCGCCAUUUCUACCAUAGUACUUCGAGGCUCUACAGACAAUCUGAUGGAUGACAUAGAAAGGG